AAUCAACGCUGGCGGCGUGCCUAACACAUGCAAGUCGAACGAGAAAGUGGAGCAAUCCAUGAGUAAAGUGGCGCACGGGUGAGUAACACGUGACUAACCUACCCUUGAGUUCGGAAUAACUUCGGGAAACCGAGGCUAAUACCGGAUAACAUCUACGGAUCAAAGGAGCAAUUCGCUUAAGGAGGGGGUCGCGGCUGAUUAGCUAGUUGGUGAGGUAAUGGCUCACCAAGGCAGUGAUCAGUAUCCGGCCUGAGAGGGCGCACGGACACACUGGAACUGAAACACGGUCCAGACUCCUACGGGAGGCAGCAGUGGGGAAUUUUGCACAAUGGGGGAAACCCUGAUGCAGCAACGCCGCGUGGAGGAUGAAGCCCCUUGGGGCGUAAACUCCUUUCGACCGGGACGAUAAUGACGGUACCGGUGGAAGAAGCCCCGGCUAACUCUGUGCCAGCAGCCGCGGUAAUACAGAGGGGGCAAGCGUUGUUCGGAAUUAUUGGGCGUAAAGGGUGCGUAGGCGGUGCGGUAAGUCUCUUGUGAAAUCUCCGGGCUCAACUCGGAGCCUGCAAGGGAAACUGUCGUGCUUGAGUAUGGGAGAGGUGAGUGGAAUUCCCGGUGUAGAGGUGAAAUUCGUAGAUAUCGGGAGGAACACCAGAGGCGAAGGCGGCGACCUGGAAGGUAACUGACACUGAGCAGCGAAAGCGUGGGGAGCAAACAGGAUUAGAUACCCUGGUAGUCCACGCCGUAAACGAUGGAUGUUAGCUGUGGCGGGAGUUGACCCCUGCCGUGGCGACGCCAACGCAAUAAGCAUCCCGCCUGGGAAGUACGGCCGCAAGGCUA
rnacentral:rRNA from 1 species